AGAGUUUGAUCCUGGCUCAGGACGAACGCUGGCGGCGCGCUUAACACAUGCAAGUCGAGCGAUGAAAUUUUAACAGAACCCUUCGGGGCGAAGAUAAAAUGGAUUAGCGGCGGACGGGUGAGUAACACGUGAGUAACCUGCCUUAGACAUUGGGAUAGCCUCGGGAAACCGGGAUUAAUACCGAAUAACAUCACAUAGACACAUGUCAUUGUGAUCAAAACUCCGGUGGUCUAAGAUGGACUCGCGUCCCAUUAGCUAGUUGGUAAGGUAACGGCCUACCAAGGCGACGAUGGGUAGCCGGCCUGAGAGGGUGAACGGCCACAUUGGAACUGAGAAACGGUCCAAACUCCUACGGGAGGCAGCAGUGGGGAAUAUUGCACAAUGGGGGAAACCCUGAUGCAGCGACGCCGCGUGAACGAAGAAGGCUUUCGAGUCGUAAAGUUCUUUUAUAUGGGAAGAUAAUGACGGUACCAUAAGAAAAAGCCCCGGCUAACUACGUGCCAGCAGCCGCGGUAAUACGUAGGGGGCUAGCGUUGUCCGGAAUCACUGGGCGUAAAGGGUUCGCAGGCGGAAAUGCAAGUCAGAUGUAAAAGGCAGUAGCUUAACUACUGUAAGCAUUUGAAACUGCAUAUCUUGAGAAGAGUAGAGGUAAGUGGAAUUUUUAGUGUAGCGGUGAAAUGCGUAGAUAUUAAAAAGAAUACCGGUGGCGAAGGCGACUUACUGGGCUCAUUCUGACGCUGAGGAACGAAAGCGUGGGUAGCAAACAGGAUUAGAUACCCUGGUAGUCCACGCUGUAAACGAUGAGUGCUAGGUGUCGGCGUAAGUCGGUGCCGCAGUUAACACAAUAAGCACUCCGCCUGGGGAGUACGUGCGCAAGCAUGAAACUCAAAGGAAUUG
rnacentral:rRNA from 1 species